UUUUCACCAGUAAGCAAAGAUAGAUCUAAGUCUGAUAAUCACAAGGCAGUGAUGACUACUGAUUAAAAACAAACAUUGUCUAGAUACAAACUUUCACAGAGUAUGAGAUUCGAAUUUUAACUUGAUGAUGAAACAUGUAGGAGGGAUCAUAUUUUCACUAAACUGGGGGGAUACCUCCCGUUUCACUUCUCCUUUCAGACGUCAAGGCAUAGAUAAAGUUAACACACAUCCAGUUCUGGCAAGUGUCCCUCACUGCUGAAAUGAAGCAGCAAAGGAAAACCAUGUGUGCUCUGUUGUGUUUUUCCUUUCACACAGGGCAUGAUGUUGACCAUCUCUAGUCAGUACAUCCAUUGGUAACCACAGGGCAAAAGCAUGCCCUUUUGGAAACCACUAUUACUAAUCUAACGUAAAGGGAAUAAUGCAAUAUGUGUUAAGAAACAGGGGCAUUGCCGGAAUUCUGCUGCUUCUGUUUUAUCAAGAGUAACUAAAGUCUCAAUGUUACGUAGUGCCUAGCCAAGAGAAUAUCCACUCUCACCACCCCAUAUAUGAUAUGGCAAAUGUUCAGAACGCUUUGGGUGAAAGAAAUCUGAACAUCAGAAGUCAACAAUUACCUGAAAUAACUGCAGUUUCCCCAGAUAAAUAAGUCACACAUUAUCCUACAGUAAAAGUGUAAUUCAAAUACAUUCUUGUUGCAAAGUGUUCCUGCUAUAAUGGUCCAUCAGAGUUGACUCCCCACUGGCAAUGUAGGGAAAUCUGAGACUGAAUCUGUGUUGCCCAAUUGGAUGGACUUUUAGGGGGGACUGGAAUGGGCCAGAGAGGAUUCCAAGGACCAGGAGAGUUAUAUUAAGCUUGCUAUAGGAUUUUGUCUUGGGGCACUGAAAUAAUUCUGCAAUGUGCGGCUAGUUUAUUAAGAAAGCAUACAGUGAAAUAAUAAAUUCUAAAAUAUGUUUAGAGGCUUCUUUUCAAUUUGAAAACCUUGGUAUUAAGGUAUAGAAGAUGCAAGAGGAAUUCAGAAGGAGAACUGGAAAGAAGAUGGUAAGAAGACCCUUAUUUUUCUGUUUCAUGAAAGGAUCCUGCCCCUGUGUUGGCUACAUAAUUUUCUUAGCAGUCUGGAGGAAAAUUGAAACCUUGGCAAUUGUCUGACUUUCAGGGUUGCAGAGCUUGACCUGGAUGUCAAGGGAAUGGCGGCUGAGUGGUGCAGGAGCAACUGUGAGGAGAUACCCCACGUCCAAGAACAAAGGAGAAGCUCCAACAAGAUGCUUCUUCAUCUGAUUCCGGAAGUUGGGAGAAAUGCAAUGAAACUGAAAUAAUCUGAGUUUUGUUUUUUCAAACUUCGGAAAAGACUGGCUGUAGUUUCUGAGUAACUAAGUCAGUUGUUAUGUCAUAAAAAUGAUUUACUAAACUUUUUGUCACCCCGAUUUCACUACCACCUGCACAUUUACCUGUCUGCAAUCCUUUCUUCAUUUCUUCUCUAUGUGAUUGCACUCCUCAAGAUGAUUUCUUUUCCAUAAAUCUGAAUAUAUGCUAAAGUACUUGGGAAAAAUUAGGAAAAAUAAUUUUGUUAAAUAUGAAACAUAAUUUAAAACAUAACAGUAAAAAGAUUUGGGGGAAAAAAAACUGGAGAAGGUCUUCAUGAUCUAGGCCCGGACAAAGGCUUCUUACAAACUGCCAUAAAACAUAAGGCUGAAAAGUUGUACUUGAUUAAGAUUUUAAAUUUUGCUCUGCAAAAAGCCCCUGUUAAGAGGAUUAAAAGAUGAGUUACAGAUUGGGAGAAAAUGUUUGCAAAACACAUAUCUGUCAAUAGAAUGGCAUCUAGCAUAUAAAAAGAACUCUGAAAAACAUCAGCACUUAUAAAAAAAAAAAGCACAUUUAAUUUCAUUAGAAAACAUA